rnacentral:rRNA from 1 species
AACGAACGCUGGCGGCAUGCCUAACACAUGCAAGUCGAACGAGACCUUCGGGUCUAGUGGCGCACGGGUGCGUAACGCGUGGGAACCUGCCCUUAGGUUCGGAAUAACUCCCCGAAAGGGGUGCUAAUACCGGAUAAUGUCUUCGCACCAAAGAUUUAUCGCCUCUGGAUGGGCCCGCGUUGGAUUAGCUAGUUGGUAGGGUAAAAGCCUACCAAGGCGACGAUCCAUAGCUGGUCUGAGAGGAUGAUCAGCCACGCUGGGACUGAGACACGGCCCAGACUGCUACGGGAGGGAGCAGUGGGGAAUAUUGGACACUGGGCGAAAGCCUGAUCAAGCAAUGCCGCGUGAGUGAUGAAGGCCUUAGGGUUGUAAAGCUCUUUUACCCGGGAUGAUAAUGACAGUACCGGGAGAAUAAGCUCCGGCUAACUCCGUG